GGUCGCAUUUUAAGAUGAGUUCAACGGAGGAGUUUGUCAGUACCAUGCAGAAGAUGUAAAACUGCUAGACCUUGUUCCCAUGGAAGGGGUUUUGUUUCAGCUGGCUUUGUGGUAAGCAAGUGAAGAGGCCACCAGCGCCAAGCGGCACCAGAAUGCAGAAGGUAAGACGACAGUAAGGUGUUGCAUCAAUUAGUUCGCACUGUUUUGCAUA